CAAAUUUUAAAUCUACCUGGUUUCCAGGUCGAGUUGUAAUUUGAAGAAGUGUUUUUUACUUUCCGGGUGGGUUAAAUCCUUUGGGAUAAGGUAUCAUGGAGGGUGAGAAUCCCGUGUAUACCAACCGCAGGAUYGUUUAAUAUACACUUUCUAAGAGUCGAGUUGUUUGGGAAUGCAGCUCUAAAUGGGUGGUAAAUUUCACCUAAUGCUAAAUAUAAGCGAGAGACCGAUAGCGAACAAGUACCGUGAGGGAAAGAUGAAAAGAACUUUGAAAAGAGAGUUAAAUAGUACGUGAAAUUGUUGAAAGGGAAACGGUUGAAGUCAGUCAUGCCGGCGGGAAUCAACUUAGGGGAAACUCUGAGUGCACUUCUUCGCUUGGCAGGUUAGCGUCGAUUUUGGAUGUCAUAAAAUGACUGGGGGAAGGUAGCUCUUUCGGGAGUGUUAAGCCCUURGUAGAUGUGAUGUCCGGGAUCGAGGAUUGCAACGGAUACCUUUUGGGCUARCCGCCUAGUCUCUAAUACGAAGUUGGGUUAUGGACAGCACCGCUGACCUGUGAUCUGAUUUUCGGUUAAAAGAUUAG
rnacentral:rRNA from 1 species